rnacentral:rRNA from 1 species
GACGAACGCUGGCGGCGUGCCUAAUACAUGCAAGUAGAACGCACAGUUUAUACCGUAGCUUGCUACACCAUAGACUGUGAGUUGCGAACGGGUGAGUAACGCGUAGGUAACCUGUCUGGUAGCGGGGGAUAACUAUUGGAAACGAUAGCUAAUACCGCAUAAUAUUAAUUAUUGCAUGAUAAUUAAUUGAAAGGUGCAAUUGCACCACUACCAGAUGGACCUGCGUUGUAUUAGCUAGUAGGUGAGGUAACGGCUCACCUAGGCGACGAUACAUAGCCGAACUGAGGGGGUGGUCGGCCCCACUGGGACUGAGACACGGCCCAGACUCCUACGGGAGGCAGCAGUAGGGAAACUUCGGGAAUUGACGAAAAUCUUACCGAGCAAAGCCGCGUGAGUGAAGAAGGUUUUCGGAUCGUAAAGCUCUGUUUUAAGGGGAGAACGGGUGUGAGAGUGGAAAGUUCACACUGUGACGGUAUCUUACCAGAAAGGGACGGCUAACUACGUG